rnacentral:lncRNA from 1 species
GGAAUGUGAAGAUAGGAUCCAUUCUGCUCGUCACUGUGGCCGUCACAAUGGGACACAGGGGUCCGGAAUCCGCGUGGACUGGAGCUGUCCUCAGUCCCUAGUGUGCAACCUGGGCUGGGAGGGUGGUUAGUCCCUAAAGAACGCAGGGGUGAGGUCACGGAGGAGGGGAGGAAGGGGAGCCAGGAGACGGCGUGAGCUGUGCCUUCUUCCUCGUUAGUAGCUGAGAUGGGAUGCGGGAUGCCCGGCCUCAGCCACCAGCACGUCCUCAGUGCCAGAGACCCCUGUACCAUCUUGUUUACUCGUCCCGACAAGCCCCUGACACGGGGGCAGGUGUCCUCUUCAUCUCCACCUCCCUGUGGAACCAUAAGGGACAGAGAGGCUGGGAGACUUCCCCAAUUCCUCUCCCGCCAUCUCUGACACCCACCGUCUACACCGCUGUCCAGGGACCUCUAGUGCCAGGGCCACCUCCCAGCCCAGCCAGCGUCCUCCUGGAGCCACUCGCAGAGCCCGACUGACCGCAGACCUGGCAGCAUUGAAAAACUUCUGGUCCCUCCGAGGCCUCGCCUGACUUUGUAAGGGGAGGGGUCUCGAGUUCUUUCAGCGUCAGGCCCCACCUCCAGGUGGGGGCACCUGCCAGUGUCUGUGUCCCCUGAGUCACGGCCGGGCCAGUCCUUCACACCCACAGGCAGCUCUGCUCUUGCUGUGGCGAUUGCCUUGGGAGAACACAGGCACCCAACCCUGAGGACCCUGGGACACCCACCAUGCAGGCUGGGGCAGGGGUCUGCUGUGGAGCGACAGCCACCAGCCCGACUCCCGCCAGCUUCUUGGGGGAAUGGGACCACGUUGCUAAGUAGGCCACAUCUCCGAGCUUCAGUUCAUCCACCCGGGGUUGGGAGAUGGUACUGGAUGCAACCAUCUCCGUGGAUCCUCUCAGCCCUGGAGUCUGAGACAGGCCCCUUGAGAGCCAAAGGGUUCGACUGUCUGAUGAUUUGGCAGGAGAGUGGUCAUGGUGGGAGCUGGCGUCCUGGGAGAAAAAUCCUGGAGUGAUGGGAUGGAAAGAGGGUUCUUGGCCUUCCGUCUUACCAAGAAUGUGGGCCUGGAGGCUAAGAUGACUUCUAACUAGAUCCUGUCCUUUGAGAAGCUCGGGGACCCCAGGAGUCCGGCCUGCCGGGUCUGCUAGUCUGGGGCAGCGGCCCUCCCCACGGUGCGGCUCCCGCGGCUCACUCCCUGGUCUGUGCCCACAGCCAGUCCACGGGGAGCCUCAUGGAGCCAGACUGCAAGGAAAGACAGGCCUUGUUCGGGACAUUUUGCCCAAGUGCCCCGUGGUGGUUUUCGUGCUGGUCACGGACGCUCUAUCUGGAGUAGCCCAGGUGUGGCAGAGAGGCACCCGCACGCUACACCAGCCAGGGCGUUUUCUGGGCUUUAGGGAUUUCCCUGCUGUUCAUAUUCUGCUUUGCAAUUUGGAGGUACCAUGAUCUUUCACGAGGGUUCAUUAAGACACCAAUAAGAACCCAC